UACGGAGGGUGCGAGCGUUGUCCGGAAUCACUGGGCGUAAAGGGUGCGUAGGCGGGUCUUUAAGUUAGGGGUGAAAUCCUGGAGCUCAACUCCAGAACUGCCUUUGAUACUGAGGAUCUUGAGUUCGGGAGAGGUGAGUGGAACUGCGAGUGUAGAGGUGAAAUUCGUAGAUAUUCGCAAGAACACCAGUGGCGAAGGCGGCUCACUGGCCCGAUACUGACGCUGAGGCACGAAAGCGUGGGGAGCAAACAGG
rnacentral:rRNA from 1 species